CUGUCUCUUAAUUAUAUUUAGAAUUUAAUUUUUUAAUUAAAAAGUUAAAAUGAAUUAAAAAGACGAGAAGACCCUAUAGAGUUUUAUAAUUAAAUUAAUUGAGAUUUUUUGUAAGAUUAAAAUUAAAAUUAAUUUAUUUAUUUUGUUGGGGUGACAGAAAAAUAUGGAGAACUUUUUUUAUAAUAUUACAUAAAUAAGUGGUUAAAUGAUCCAAUAUUAUUGAUUAUAAGAAAAAAUUACCUUAGGGAUAACAGCGUAAUUUUUUUUUUUAGUUCAUAUAAAAAAAAAAGUUUGCGACCUCGAUGUUGGAUUAAGAUAAAAUUUAAAUGCAGAAG
rnacentral:rRNA from 1 species